rnacentral:rRNA from 4 species
ACCCGGGUUGCGGACAGUGUCUGGUGGGUAGUUUGACUGGGGCGGUCUCCUCCUAAAGAGUAACGGAGGAGCACGAAGGUUGGCUAAUCCUGGUCGGACAUCAGGAGGUUAGUGCAAUGGCAUAAGCCAGCUUGACUGCGAGCGUGACGGCGCGAGCAGGUGCGAAAGCAGGUCAUAGUGAUCCGGUGGUUCUGAAUGGAAGGGCCAUCGCUCAACGGAUAAAAGGUACUCCGGGGAUAACAGGCUGAUACCGCCCAAGAGUUCAUAUCGACGGCGGUGUUUGGCACCUCGAUGUCGGCUCAUCACAUCCUGGGGCUGAAGUAGGUCCCAAGGGUAUGGCUGUUCGCCAUUUAAAGUGGUACGCGAGCUGGGUUUAGAACGUCGUGAGACAGUUCGGUCCCUAUCUGCCGUGGGCGCUGGAGAACUGAGGGGGGCUGCUCCUAGUACGAGAGGACCGGAGUGGACGCAUCACUGGUGUUCGGGUUGUCAUGCCAAUGGCACUGCCCGGUAGCUAAAUGCGGAAGAGAUAAGUGCUGAAAGCAUCUAAGCACGAAACUUGCCCCGAG